rnacentral:misc_RNA from 1 species
AACAUCGCGCACCUGCGGGAACCUGCGGAAGGAUCAUUACCGAGUGCGGGUCCGCGUGGCCCAACCUCCCACCCGUGCCUAUUGUACCCUGUUGCUUCGGCGGGCCCGCCAGCCUUCGGGCUGGCCGCCGGGGGGCGUCUCGCCCCCGGGCCCGUGCCCGCCGGAGACCCCAACAUGAACCCUGUUCUGAAAGCUUGGUGUCUGAGUGUGAUUGUUUGCAAUCAGUUAAAACUUUUAGCA